rnacentral:misc_RNA from 1 species
AAAGUCGUAACAAGGUUUCCGUAGGUGAACCUGCGGAAGGAUCAUUACUGAUUUAUGCGAACCUCGCGUCAGCGGGGAUUUCGCGUUUGUAUUUAAAACACCCACUCUUAAAAAAAUUUUUAUAAUCAUGUGUAAAUAAAUAAAAGAUCACUUUCAACAACGGAUCUCUUGGCUCUC